rnacentral:rRNA from 1 species
GAUGAACGCUGGCGGCGUGCCUAAUAUAUGCAAGUCGAGCGAACGGACGAGAAGCUUGCUUCUCUGAUGUUAGCGGCGGACGGGUGAGUAACACGUGGAUAACCUACCUAUAAGACUGGGAUAACUUCGGGAAACCGUAGCUAAUACCGGAUAAUAUUUUGAACCGCAUGGUUCAAAAGUGAAAGACGGUCUUGCUGUCACUUAUAGAUGGAUCCGCGCUGCAUUAGCUAGUUGGUAAGGUAACGGCUUACCAAGGCAACGAUGCAUAGCCGACCUGAGAGGGUGACCGGCCACACUGGAACUGAGACACGGUCCAGACUCCUACGGGAGGCAGCAGUAGGGAAUCUUCCGCAAUGGGCGAAAGCCUGACGGAGCAACGCCGCGUGAGUGAUGAAGGUCUUCGGAUCGUAAAACUCUGUUAUUAGGGAAGAACAUAUGUGUAAGUAACUGUGCACAUCUUGAUGGUACCUAAUCAGAAAGCCACGGCUAACUACGUG